rnacentral:lncRNA from 1 species
GGCGCCAUCAUGGGCAUCUUCUUCUGCCUGUCGGGGGUGGGCUCACUGUUGGGCUCCAGCCUAGUGGCACUGCUGUCCUUGCCCGGGGGCUGGCUGCACUGCCCCAAGGACUUUGCUGAAGAGGAAUUGUAGACACCCCUGGAGAUCUUCAGGAAGUCAAACAUUAGGAACAUCAACAAUUGCCGGAUGGACCUCUACUUCUUCCUGCUGGCUGGCAUUCAGGCCGUCACGGCUCUCCUAUUUGUCUGGAUCGCUGGACGCUAUGAGAGGGCGUCCCAGGGCCCAGCCUCCCACAGCCGUUUCAGCAGGGACAGGGGCUGAACAGGCCCUAUUCCAGCCCCCUUGCUUCACUCUACCGGACAGACGGCAGCAGUCCCAGCUCUGGUUUCCUUCUCGGUUUAUUCUGUUAGAAUGAAAUGGUUCCCAUAAAUAAGGGGCAUGAGCCCUUCCUCACGA